rnacentral:rRNA from 1 species
UUCCGGUUGAUCCUGCCGGAGGCCAUUGCUAUCGGAGUCCGAUUUAGCCAUGCUAGUCGCACGGGUUUAGACCCGUGGCGAACAGCUCAGUAACACGUGGCCAAACUACCCUGUGGACGAGUAUAACCUCGGGAAACUGAGGCUAAUCCUUGAUACGGCUUCCAGUCUUGAACGACGGAAGUCGGAAACGCUCCGGCGCCACAGGAUGUGGCUGCGGCCGAUUAGGUAGACGGUGGGGUAACGGCCCACCGUGCCAGUAAUUGGUACGGGUGAUGAGAGUCAGAGCCCGGAGACGGUAUCUGAGACAAGAUACCGGGCCCUACGGGGCGCAGCAGGCGCGAAACCUUUACACUGCACGCGAGUGCGAUAGGGGGACUCCGAGUGCGAGGGCAUAUAGUCCUCGCUUUUCUAGACCGUAAGGAGGUUUAGGAACAAGGGCUGGGCAAGACCGGUGCCAGCCGCCGCGGU